UUAAUUAUUAACUUAUAACAUGCAGUCAUGAUUCUCACAACAGCCCAAAUGUUAAUCAGUGAAAUUGGAUAUCACCGCAUUUACAUUCACAAACGAACAUUUUACUUCCAAUUUGCAGAUUCAUGAUUAGGUUCGAAAUUAAAUAAAUAAAUAAAAGCCAAUUACAAAAAGGAGGAAAAAAAAGUGUGCAAGAGCGGAUGAAGGGAGGAUAAACAAUGCCCACCACACUCUGAGCUCUAAAAAGGGACUAAAAGUAUCUGAAAGCUAUUACUUUGUAAUCGCUUUUCAUAUAUACUUUUGAGUACUAAAAACCAGGGCAUGUAGUUUCUUAAACACAGCUUCUACAGAGUGGAAAUCAAUAUCAAAACCAUAGCUUUGUCCUCCAUACUGUACAUAGAGGUAUCCUUUAGGAGAAAGUGGAGGGGGCAAAAUCUGAGAGAUCGGUGGAAAACUUGAAGCAUGUGGAGAAGGCAGGUCUUUCUUCUUCAGAGAGUAGUAUACAUCAGCUAAUAGAAGCCAAAUAAGGUCAGGGUCAAUAGAUGCAAGUCCUUGUAACGCAUUAACGGAUGCAUCCAGAAGGCCAGCAACACCACUACAUGCUAUCCCCACGACCAAACCGCUAACCUUCUUAAGGACUGCUUCUAAUGAUGAAGCACUCCUUUUGUUUCGGGAUAAAUCAGCUAUCAUGUUAAGCACUGCAACCUGGACUUUCAAGCUUGAAACUUCUGCCAUCGAGUCCUCUGAAGAAGUAGGAGUGCUUCUGUAAGGAAGUUGUAAUGGGAUUCUUUCUUCUUUUGAGAAGGGUUUUUUCUGAAAUGGAGACAUGGAAAGAAAUUUCCAAAAGUGUGAUCCAUCAGUGUGAAAGCGGCGUGAAAAGAAAUCUCCUCCACAUAUUUGCACGACUUUGCUCACCACACUUGUACAUCUCCUCACAGCCACUGGAAUUUUAUUUCUAAUACAAGCAACCAGGAAGGGCCAUAUCUUAUUCAUUGCUGGAAGCAACCUGUUCUCAUCAGUUCCUUCCUCAGCAGCAUCCAAAGUAUCAUGAAGCUGAUACAAUGAGUAUGAACGAAUCACCUCCUCAAUUGUUUCUUUAGUUUCCUUUUCAUGCUGAUAAGCUUCUUCCACUUUAGCAAGUGUUGUGAUUCCAUCCUCAAUUAUAUCCAUGGCUAUCAAGCAUGCCACUUGCUUCGCUGAAGCCAUUAGAGGGGUUGCAGCUGUUAAGCAUGAACCAGCAAUAGAUCCAACAAUUCUUCUGUAUCUUCUGGAAUCAUUCAACUUCAACAAAAUACUCUCCCAUUGCUCUACAUGUGUCAUAUCAUCAUCAAAAGAAGCACAGGAUUCUUCAUCCAAUUCCAUUUGAGACAUAUCAAUGUGAUUGUCAAAAUGUGAUGGUGAACCUUGUCUGGAUUCUUGUCUAACUUCCUUCAUUAUGUUGGACUUGACAUGCAUCAGAUACGAUUCUGCAGCAGCGGGCAACAACGAAGCCUCAUGUUUUGAUGCCUUGGCGAUUUCAGCUACAGCCUUCAAAAAGGGAAUAGUUAAUUCUGGGUGCUGAUGCCUGCCAAGAAUCUCGAGUUCCUGUGAAGCAGAACGCAUCGGUUCCUCCAAGAGAGGCAAUAUUUUAUGAGCCACUCCAACAUAGGAAAGCAUGGAAGCAAGAACACUAGGCACAUGCGGGUUUAGAUCCAAAUGGCGUAAUUGCCGACAUAUUGAAUCAAUUACGUAAUCAGCAUUUGCCAAGAUCAAUUGCCCAACCGUUCGAUGGCCAGAUGUAGAAGAAAGGAUAUGUAAAACAGCAUCAGAAGCACUUCUAACGUGGAAGUUUGAGCAAAUAAGACUCUCAAGCAACAGGUAAAGAGAUGAGUGAAGAAAUCCGCUUGAAGAAAAAUCUUUUCCCAGGCAAACAGCGAAGGUGCCUAUUCCAUCAAUAAUAACCUGAUGUAGCACAGCAGUAUCAUGGAAGAAGUGAGAAGGAAUUUCAUCAACUUCACUAUCAGGUUGAAUGUGAGUCGGUUUGCAAUCCACUGGAAGAUCCCACACUUCAGAUGAUAGAUAUUCAUGUAAAAUUCUACCAAUGCAAUCAAUCAGGUGACUCCUAGAAGCUUUUUCCUGUGAAAGCUUCCAAAUAGAUUGAGUAAGCUCAGAAGAUUCAACUGUGCAAGGCUGACUGUCAGCAACACUUCCAUCAAAUUCUUGAAUCUCUUCCCUCUUAACAAUGGACUUUUGAAGCAUUUUUGUAAGACUAUCGACUGACUGAUCUGAUAGACCAAAUAUCAUCUCAUUCAAGAUACAAACUGCAGUGCUGGCCUGACGCAGUAAUUGUCCAGAGCCAGUUCUGUUAUACCAAGAUUGCCAGCUCUCUUUAUUGUAUUCCUUGACACGGACCUCAGAUAUAAGUUUACGCAGGUAAUCAAGUGGGAUAUCUGUAACAACUGACAUAUGCCCUUCACUUUUGAAGUCUGCCAUUAAAGAUAAACCUACUAGUCUAAGAAUUCCUGCAAGAGGCUGAUAUAAUUUCUGACUGCCAACAGAAACAAACCAAGGAGGCAUACGGGGAAGUUCAUAAUUAUUCUCCACAGUUUCCAAUGGGCAUUGAAUUCUUCUUCCUUGAAUAUCUCUUAACUUUGAGAUAUCAGAAGGCACAAAAUCCAUGAUGGUCUGGUAAUCAGUGAGAAACUGGGAAUUAGCUUUCAACUCAGCAACAGAAGGAAGAUAUCCAACAGAGGAUGGCCUUGCUAAAGUAAGUUUGUGAAGAUCACCAGCAAACAGUGAAUUCUGACUCAGACAGAGGGCAAGAACAUCCAAGAAUCUUGCAGCUGUUACCGGAGACACAAGCUGUUCCAUCACGAAGUGAGGACCAGAAUAAUAUAUGACUGCAAGCAAUUUUUUAGCAUGCGAGAGUGCAAGUGAGUCCUCAUUGCCCAUUACCACUUUUGGAAGCUUCUCAAUGAGCCUGCUAAAUAUUUCAGUAAUAUCACGUUUUACAUGAUGUUUUCCACUCGAAGAGAAUAAAUAUUCAAUAAACUCCUGAGCAGGUGCAGACACCUCUUCAGAAUCAUCAACAAUCAAGACACACAGGCACUCCAAGAGCAUCAAUCUGCUGUCCUUCAGAGUGUAACUACAGUUUGAUAACAGUCCUUGUAUGGCAGCCAGUAAUCCUCGUCUCAUCUUCUUUGCUGGAUGAACACAUAUAUGUGGAAAGGUUGCACUCAAUAAUUUAUCCAGAUGCGCUGAAGUUUUCUCAAUCCAAUCUCUUGUACGAUCCACAUGCAGAGAUCCUAUUUCCUUGCCAAAUUUAUUGUUCCUGUUUAUUUUUAUAUCAGAUCCAUGGGAAUCCAAAUCUGCAGCUACACCAAUCGAUUCUGCAGCCACAAUUUUACGCUGACCUUGAGUGAUACUGGGCAAAUGGCAAAGCUCAUCCAGAAUUGAAUGGACAGAUUCAUUCUUGUUUGAACUAAAUCCAGCGAUGACAUUUAAGGGUAUGUCAAGGUUCGAUAAAUUAGCAUCAUCCUGAAGAACUACCAUUAAAUACUCGGCCAAGCCUCUAAUUGCUUGGUCGGUAGCAUCCACACUUCCAGCAGCCCCACUUAUCAUUGUUUUUGAGACAUGCAAAACUUUGGCAAAUUGACUAACAACACCAGGCAGAAAGAAAGCUAGCGCAUCUGCAGUACCAACCUUAGAUACAAGCACACGUAAGGUCACAAAGGCUUCAACACGGAGCUUUGCAUUGCCUCGAUGUCCUCGUGCCACUUCAAUAUCUGCAGCCUUGAGAAGAAGUGAUAGCCAGUGUCCAACGGCAGCUGCAGCAGUUUGUGACUGGAGAAAUGCAAGUAAACAUUCCUCGCGCUCCGAAUCAUAAUUUGAAGUCCCACAUGUUAAUGCUUGCAUAUCUGCAUUUUCUAAGAGUGCAGGCCGACCAAGACUCUGUCUACAUGAGCAAUCUUCAUCUGAGCAAGGAGGUAAACUUAGAAGUAGAGACCUAAAACACUUGAUUACUCCUUCACGAAACUCUUCUGAAGCCUCAUGGGGAGAAAGCAUAGCCACAUGAGUCAAUUUUUUCAUAAGUACAACCAUCUGAUCCACAGAUCCCAAAUGACACUUCUUUAGAAGCUCCUCCAAACAUUGCAGGACAGCUUCAGCCACUUUAUCACUCACUUUGUGAGGCAAAUUUUUGGAGUUAGCUUUAUCCUCAGGAUCAUCCUUCUUCGAACCUCUGCUAUCAACUGCUGCAUCCAAUAGAAGCAGCAGCGGGAACAAGGUAUAGUCAAAGAAAGGUUGGAGGGCGUAAGAAGGAGAGGUACGAAGGAACUGGAGCAAUGAAUGGAUUGCAGAGGAGUCUUUUUUAGGGUUUUGGAGAAGCUCCAGAAGCUCCAAGCAAUAGGGUUUUAGCUGCACGAAAAUACCGCUUCUUCGUCGCGCCACUUCCUCUAGUUCGUCGUCGUUUUCGACCGUGAGAUUAUCAAAAUGUUCCAUUCUAGGAACAAAAUUUGAUUCUUUUUGCUUGAGUUCUGAGUGAUGACAGAGGCGCGAAACCGAAGUUUCAGCUCUGGAAGGUGGAAGAAAGAAAAAGAGAAGUGAAUGAAACGAUCAUUUCGCAAUGCCUUGAGCCUUUGGGCCACCUUUUGGUGCUUUUGGACCUCAUUUCCCGUUGCGAGAUUCGUAAUCCUUGUUUGCUUUGUUUGUUUUGAGAGAAGUGAGAGUUAUUGAGGGGAAA
rnacentral:misc_RNA from 1 species